GUGGUAAUGCCGGAUGCUCCGCUCCAUCGCAUGGUGGGGUGGGAAAUGCUUUUGCGGCAUGGGAUGGGGUCGCGUCCUAUCAGCUUGUUGGCGGGGUGAUGGCCCACCAAGGCGUUGACGGGUAGCCGGCCUGAGAGGGUGACCGGCCACAUUGGGACUGAGAUACGGCCCAGACUCCUACGGGAGGCAGCAGUGGGGAAUAUUGCACAAUGGGCGCAAGCCUGAUGCAGCGACGCCGCGUGCGGGAUGGAGGCCUUCGGGUUGUAAACCGCUUUUGUUCAAGGGCAAGGCACGGUUUCGGCCGUGUUGAGUGGAUUGUUCGAAUAAGCACCGGCUAACUACGUGCCAGCAGCCGCGGUAAUACGUAGGGUGCGAGCGUUAUCCGGAUUUAUUGGGCGUAAAGGGCUCGUAGGCGGUUCGUCGCGUCCGGUGUGAAAGUCCAUCGCCUAACGGUGGAUCUGCGCCGGGUACGGGCGGGCUGGAGUGCGGUAGGGGAGACUGGAAUUCCCGGUGUAACGGUG
rnacentral:rRNA from 1 species